rnacentral:lncRNA from 1 species
UCGGAGCCGUGUGUGGUGGCCGGAGCUGUGUAUGUAAUAUAUGAAGGGAGGAGACAUAUGCGGUCGGGGGUGAUGGUGGUGUUGCCCGCGGCUAGGGAGAGAGAGAGAUGGAGAGUUUCGAGUAUUUAUCAGGUUGUAGAAUUAGGUUUAUAAGUAGGUUUAUAAUUACCUCAAAUGAUGAAUGAAGCCAUCUAUUUAUAGGAGCCUUGGAG